rnacentral:rRNA from 1 species
CCUACGGGUGGCAGCAGUGGGGAAUAUUGCACAAUGGGGGACACCCUGAUGCAGCGACGCCGCGUGAGUGAAGAAGUAUUUCGGUAUGUAAAGCUCUAUCAGCAGGGAAGAAAAUGACGCUACCUGAUUAAUAAGCCCCGGCUAACUACGUGCCAGCAGCCGCGGUAAUACGUAGGGGGCAAGCGUUAUCCGGAUUUACUGGGUGUAAAGGGAGCGUAGACGGCAACACAAGUCCGGAGGAAAAUGCGGGGGCUUAACCCUGGAACUGCUUUGGAAACUGUGCAGCUAGAGUGAAGGAGAGGUAAGUGGAAUUCCUAGUGUAGCGGUGAAAUGCGGAGAUAUUAGGAGGAACACCAGUUGCGAAGGCGGCUUACUGGACUGUAACUGACGGUGAGGCACGAAAGCGUGGGGAGCAAACAGGAUUAGAUACCCGUGUAGUC